rnacentral:rRNA from 1 species
GGGCCUGCCCAGUGAUAUUUCAACGGCCGCGGUACUCUGACCGUGCAAAGGUAGCAUAAUCAUUUGCCCUAUAAUUAAGGGCUAGUAUGAACGGUCUAACAAGAAUGGAACUGUCUCUUUUAAAAUCCUUAGAAUUUGGUCUUUAGGUGAAGAAACCUAAAUUAUAUUGAUAGACAAGAAGACCCUAUCGAGCUUUAAAACAAUUAGUUAAACAAAUAGAUAACACUAACUUUAACUAAAAAUUUUGGUUGGGGCGACUAAGGAACAAACAAAGCUUCCUUAAUAAAUUCUACACUAAUAAGUAAUGAUCCAAAAUAUUUGAUUAAUAAAAUUAGUUACCGUAGGGAUAACAGCAUAAUCUUCUUCAAGAGUUCUUAUCGAAAAGAAUGUUUGUGACCUCGAUGUUGGACUAGGAUAUCCAAAAGAUGCAGAAGUCUUUAAAGGUUGGUCUGUUCGACCAAUAAAAUCCUACGUGAUCUAUCU